AGUGAACGCUGGCGGUAGGCCUAACACAUGCAAGUCGAACGGCAGCACAGUAAGAGCUUGCUCUUACGGGUGGCGAGUGGCGGACGGGUGAGGAAUACAUCGGAAUCUACUUUUUCGUGGGGGAUAACGUAGGGAAACUUACGCUAAUACCGCAUACGACCUACGGGUGAAAGCAGGGGAUCUUCGGACCUUGCGCGAUUGAAUGAGCCGAUGUCGGAUUAGCUAGUUGGCGGGGUAAAGGCCCACCAAGGCGACGAUACGUAGCUGGUCUGAGAGGAUGAUCAGCCACACUGGAACUGAGACACGGUCCAGACUCCUACGGGAGGCAGCAGUGGGGAAUAGUGGGCAAUGGGCGCAAGCCUGAUCCCGCCAGACCGCGUGGGUGAAGAAGGCCUUCGGGUUGUAAAGCCCUUUUGUUGGGAAAGAAAAGCAGCAGGUUAAUACCCCGCUGUUCUGACGGUACCCAAAGAAUAAGCACCGGCUAACUUCGUG
rnacentral:rRNA from 1 species